UACGGGGGAGCAAGCGUUGUUCGGAUUUACUGGCGUAAAGGGCGCGUAGGCGGCCUGUGCAAGUCAGUUGUGAAAUCUCCGAGCUUAACUCGGAACGGUCAACUGAUACUGCUCGGCUAGAGUGCGGAAGGGGCAACUGGAAUUCUUGGUGUAGCGGUGAAAUGCGUAGAUAUGUGGAGGAACACCGAUGGCGAAGGCAGCCCCUGGGUUAACACUGACGCUCAUGCACGAAAGCGUGGGGAGCAAACAGG
rnacentral:rRNA from 1 species